AGCUUUGCACAGUGGCAGUAUCGUAGCCAAUGAGGUUUAUCCGAGGCACGAUUAUUGCUAAUUGAAAACUUAACCAAAAAUGUUUGUUGCUGUCAGAUAGACAUACUACACUUUGGCUUACUAUAAUGAACUAUGUGUAGU
ensembl:snRNA U4 U4 spliceosomal RNA